AUAUUUAUAUGACAGAGCACAUACCAUGGUCAUGAAGGUGGUUCUUCCAUGGCAGGGCUUAUCCACUGUAUUGCAGACUGAUGACCUCUAUGAUUUACCCAAAUUUGGCAAAUAACUUUAACUUGUGAUAAUGGGGACUAUGUUUUCUCACUCCCCU
rnacentral:snRNA from 1 species